CCCUGGUUUACCUGCAUUGUCAUGAGCUUAUUUAUAACAAAUUUGAUAGAGACCUUUCUGUGCUUCUCCCAGGUGAUAAACGCAUGUUUUGGAAUGUGUUGUGGACUAUGCGACAAAAAAAAAGUUAGUUGAUUAUUUUAGAUGUUUUAGUAUGUUUUCAAAUACCAUUGAAUUGUGUAUAGCUUCCAUUUCUCAUGUUCCUUCACUUAUUUAUCCAUUCCAUGGUGGCCUUUCAGAAAUGAGAUAUCUGCUUUUGAUAGUACAGCUCUCCUACUGCCAUGUUUUUUAUGUUCCUCUACUAUUUCAGUGACCAACGAUGACAAUAAUAUGAUGUCUUUUUCUAGUUACCUUUAUUACCCUCUGGUGUGAUUUGAUAAAGAAGCUGAGAUGAAACAUAUGUGCUACCGCCCUCUAAACCAGGCUUCCCCAAACUCCGGCCCUCCAGAUGUUGCUGAACUACAACUCCCAUGAUUGUCAGCCUAUCUAUUUCAUUCAUGGAAUCAUGUGAGUUGUUGUUCAGCAACAUCUGGAGGGACAGAGUUUGGGGAAGCCUGCAAACCAACUGGAGGUGUAUUGGUGCUGGCACUGUAACCCAAUGCCUUUUGGUGCUUCUUUUUCUAUUAUACUUCAUCUUAAUUAUUUUAUAUUAUUUAGUGAAUUUGUGUCCACUCAUUCUUUAGUGAAUAUACCUUGUGUUAACAAGUAGCUGUCUUGCAUAGUCAUUCAUAGAAUGUAACAUGUGGGGUCCCUGAUCUCAGUAUAUCUUUAUUGUUAAUGGGGCUCAUGAUGAGGUUCCACUCAGUUUUUCUCUCUCCAACCACCAGUAGUUCCAUAUUUCCAUUUCUCCUCUUCCAUACCUGAUCUCUAGCUCUAUUCACAAACAUAUUUGCAGCCCAAUCCUCACCCCCUAUACAGUACUACUUAUCACCUCUGCAGUGGCGUACACAUGACCCAUGGGGCCCCGGUGCAAAAAUUGAUCCGUGGGCCCCCCCCCCCGCGCUUACAUGGCGCGGGUCGGGGUCGCAACACAUGGUGGCGGGCACCUGGUCGCAGGGGUUGCAGGGCUGCGACCCCGCGACCGCGGUAUGCACACACACUUAAAGGACCACUACAGACACCCAGAUCACAUCAGCUCAAUGAAGUGGUUCGGGUGCCAGGUCCCUCUAGUUUUAACCCUGCAGCUGAAAACAUAGCCGUUUCAGAGAAAUGGCUAUGUUUCACUGAGGGUUAAUCCAGCCUCUGGUGGCUGUCUCAUUGACAGCUGCUAGAGGAGCUUCCGCGAUUCUCACUGUGAAAAUCACAGUGAGAAGACACUGAACGUCCAUAGGAAAGCAUUGAGCAAUGCUUUCCUAUGGGCGGUUUAAAUGCACGCGCGGCUCUUGCCGCGCAUGUGCAUUUCGGAGCUGAGAGGCGGACACUGGGGAGUCCGACGCUGGAGAAAGGUAAAUGCUGAAGACACACACUCUCACGAACAGACGCAUGCACACUAGCUAACAGACACACACAUUUACUGACAGAGACACACUCAGUGACAGACAUACAUACACACUCACAAAACAUACACUUUCACUGACAAAUACACACUCACUAACAGACAUCAAACACACUCAGUAACAGACACACACAGUAACAUACUCACUAGCAGACAAACACCCAAUAACAGACACACUCACUGACACACACACACACACUAACACACACACUAACACACACACUAACACAAACACACACACAUUUUUUUUUCAAAUUUAAUCCCCCCAGCCUCCUUACCUUUUGGAGUGCUGGGGGGAUUCCCUGGGGUCCAGUGGUGGUGGUGCUGCUGGGCUCCUGGGCGGCCGGUCACUGGGUGGGUGGGUGGGCGGGCUGGCUGGCUGGCUGCCUGGGCGGCCGGCGCGCGAGGGAGCACUUUCCCCUGUGUGCUUCCUCUUCAGCUCCCUCGCGCGCCGCGCAGGGAUGCCGGCGCCGGAAGAUGACGUCAUCUUCCGGCUCCGGCAUCAGUGCGGUGCGCGAGAGAGCUGAAGAGGAAGCACUGAGUGCUCCCUCGCGCGCCCGCCUGCCUGCCUGCCCGACCGACCGGCCACCCGCCUGCCAGGUAUCAGCAGGGCCAGCCUCGGGGGGGCCCUGGGGUGGUCGGCUCCUGGGCCCCCCAGGGGAAGAGGCUGGCCCUGUGGCUACAUACCGGGUCGCAGGGGCGGCCGGGCCCCCUGGUAUGUACGCCACUGCACCUCUGUACCCUGCAGCAGAGUCCAACUUUAUCUAUUCCCCCCUGCAAUUGCCUGCCUCUUGAGUUCACCUCCACUAAACUAAAUAACCAGGAAGUAACAGGAGCGCUUGUCUGACUGACAGUCAUUGUUAUGUAACAAGGUUAAAGGAACACUAUGGCAUUAGUAAUACAAACCUGUAUUUCUAAUGCUAAAGUCUGCUAGUUGCAGAUUAGGUUUAGGUGCCCCCUUUCCCCUUCUCAGUUAAAAAAAUAAAAACAUUUUUUUACGUAUCUUUUCUCCAGUGCGAGGCUCCCUCAGCACUAUUGCCCACUCCUCCUUCCACAGCCAAUCCAAUGCUCCUCUUAGUUGAGCAUUGGAAACAGCUUGCACAUCCAAAAGCUUCUCAUAGAAUGAUGGAGUGAUGGAGUUUUAUUCGGGUGUUGUAGAGGAAGCGUCUCUAAUGCUGUCUGGAAGACACCCACUAGCGUUGUGUUUAACCUUGCAAUUUUAACAACAAAAUGACAAGACCACUGCACCCAGACCACUUUAUUAAAAUUAAGUGAUCUGGGUUACUUUAGUGGUCCUUUAAUUAAUAAAAGUGCCAAUUUCUAUAGAAUCUGCACUUUUUGUAAAAUUAAAAAAAAAACCUUCAGUAGCUCACCUAAUUCCAGCGCCGGGCUCCCUUACCUCUCAUCCCCCGCCGACGUCAGCAUCCUCGUCCGACGUCACAGGAGCCGAAUGCGCAUGCGCGGCACUUCCGCGCGCGCAUUCAAAGUGUCUGUAGGAAAGCAUUUUUCAAUGCUAGAGGCUGGCUUAACCCCAAAUGUAAACAUAGCAGUUUUUCUGAAACUGCUAUGUUUGCAUUUGAAGGGUUAAACCUGAGGGACCUGGCACCCAGACCACUUCAUUGAACUGAAGUGGUCUGGGUGACUAUAGUGUCCCUUUAAAGUGGAUCUGUCACUUUAGGGGUUUCUUUGCAUAUAUUUUGCAAACACCUUCAAAAGUGGCAUAUUAGGUGUGGGUCUGGUGGCCUCGGGGUACCGGGGAAGGCAAGUUUUACUUACCUCAAGCUCUCCCUCGCGGCUGCCACCAUAUUUGUCCUGCAGGUUCUCUUCCAGGAGCCGUAUCAGUGGUCUUCUCGGAUGUCUAACACUGAGGUCUGUGGAGGAUCCCACCAGCCCGUGGGAGCUUCCAUAGACAAUGCCUGAAUCCCACAGUCGUUGCAUGUGACGGCUGGUUGGAUUGGACAAAAGUUGUCGGAGGAGUCAUGAUCAAGAUUUCAUAAAGGAUAUAUCUUAUUUAUGAUCAUUAUCAAGUCCAAAGGCCAACUUAUUAUGUGUUAUUUAGCCUCUCUGUGCACUCUCUUAUUAGUUCAUGAAAGGAAGCUAGAGGUAGCAUUUAACCAUUAUGCAUGUGACCUUUGUACUAGCCACCUCUUAAUUUCUAUAGCAUAGCAUAACCCUACAGAUUAUCUCCAACCUGUCCUGUUGCACCUCUGGAGUCAAGGUAGCUUCAUAUAAACGGAUUGACAUUGAUUUAAAGGUUUACAUUCCUAAUUAGAUAUACUGAAUUUUAUAUCACUUAAAAUGAUGUUGAAAUGGUAGGAGCCAACUCCAGUAAUGCACCAAUGCAGAGAUCCAUGGGCGUCCACAGAGGGGGGACACUUGCUCCCCCCCCCCCUGGAUUUUUCAGCUUGUUCUGCAAAUUUUCGUGUGAGAUUGAAAAUACAGUGCAAUACCGGAGCCGGCCAGUAGGUGGCGCUGUGUAUGGAGAGACAGGAAGCUGCAUCUUAUCCCUGAAUCUGCAGGGGAGCAACACAUACAGCCAGCAGAGACAGCCUACAGAUCAGGUAAGUGAGGCAUAUGGGAGGCAGAGAUAGCCCACAGAUCAAGGAAGUGAGGCACAUGGGGGGUAGAGAUAGCCCACAGAUCAGGGAAGUGAGGCACAUGCGGGGCAGAGAUAGCCUACAUAUCAGGGAAGUGAGUCAUGGGGGGCAGAGAUAGCCUACAGAUCAUGGGCGUAAGGCACGGGGGGCAGAGAUAGCCACAGAUCAUAGGGAAGUGAGGCAUGGGGGCAGAGAUAGCCUACAGAUCAGGGAAGUGAGGCAUAUGGGGGGUAAUAUAUAACCCACAGAUCAGGGAAGUGAGGCACAUGGGGGGGCAGAGAUAGCCUACAGAUCAGGGAAGUGAAGCACAUGGGGGGCAGAGACAGCCUACAGAUCAGGGAAGUGAGGCACAUGGGGGGCAGAGAUAGCCUACAGAUCAGGGAAGUGAAGCACAUGGGGGGCAGAGACAGCCUACAGAUCAGGGAAGUGAGGCAUGGGGGGCAGAGAUAGCCUACAGAUCAGGGAAGUGAAGCACAUGGGGGGCAGAGAUAGCCUACAGAUCAGGGAAGUGAAGCAUAUGGGGGGCAGAGAUAGCCUACAGGUCAGGGAAGUGAGGCACAUGAGGGGCAGAGAUAGCCUACAGGUCAGGGAAGUGAAGCAUAUGGGGGGCAGAGAUAGCCUACAGGUCAGGAAGUGAAGACAUGGGGGGCAGAGAUAGCCUAUAGAUCAGGGAAGUGAGGCACAUGGGGGGGGGGGAGGAGACAGCCUACAGGAAGGGUCAGCAAGGACCAGGAAAAUAAAGUAAGAGAAGAAAGGAGGAAGAAAUAGAAAUGAGCAGGAAGGGGCAGCAAGGAGUAGGAAGGGACAGCAAGGAGCACAACAGAUAAAGUUGGAGAAGGAGCACAAAGUAACACAAAUGAGCAGGAAGGGUCUGCAAGGAGCACGAAGGGUCAACAAGGAGAAGGGUCAGCAAGGAGCUGGAAGGUAAAGCAGCACAAAGGUAAAGUAGAAGGAGCAGAAAAGGUCAGCAAGGAGCUGAAAAUGUCAGCAAGGAGCACAAAGGUGAAGUAGGAGAAGGAACAGAAAUGAGCAGGAAGGGUCUGCAAGGAGUAGCAAGGAGUAGGAAGGGUCUGCAAGGAGAAGGAAGGGUCUGCAGAAGGAGCAGAAAUGGACAGAAGGAGCACAAAGGUAAAGGAGCUGAAAGAAUCAGAAGGAGCACAAAGGUAAAGUAGGAGAAGGAGCAGAAAAGGGUAAAAAGGAGCAGAAAGGGACAGCAAGGAGCACAAAGGUAAAGUAGGAGAAGGAACAGAAAGGGUCUGCAAGGAGCAGAAAGGCAUCAGAUAGAGAAAGGAUCAGACGGGGGAGCACAAUAAACAGAAAGGUAAAGGAGCAGAAGGAGCCAAGGUGGAGAGAAGACAGUGUCAGAAGAAAAAGAAGACUGUGUCAAACGAAGGAGAAGAAAAGGAGAUUGGAGCAGGAAGGUAAGUAAAGUGAACCCUCCACUUUAUUCUGCACACCACAUCAUAAGGCUUUGGUACCUGGGCCUGGCAGGGAAACUUUGGACCUUCUCAUCUCCCCAGGUAAAAAAAAAAAUAUCAGUGUUAAUGUGUUCACUUUUAUUUACUGAGUGUCAGGAAGCACAGAGGGCCGCUGGGGAGGGGUGUCGCUGAUUGGUUAGAGCGGUCAGCUGGCACUCUAAGCCAAUCAGUAGCUCCCCAUUCAUAAAAAAGUAAAACAUUUUUAUGAACCGGGAACUAGCGAUUGGCUUAGAGCGUCAGCUGACCACUCUAGCCAAUCAGCGGCACCCAUGCCUGAUGUCAAUCUGCACUUCCUGACACUCCGUUUCAGAAGCCGAAUACCACUGAGCAACCUGGAAAUCUGGAGCUGGAGGAAGCCUUUGGGGUUAAACCAUUUGAGAGUGGUUUCACUCCUUAAAGGAAAGAGAGCACCCAGGGGCUUUCUGGCAUCAUAGCAUUUUUAUUUAGAUGACGUUAUUAUGGUGACCAGAAUGUUCCUUUAAUUUGCUUAAAGGAACACUAUAGUGUCCGGAAUACAAACAUGUAUUCCUGACACCAUAGUUGUGAAAACGCUAUUCACCCUGGCUUUAUGUGAUAAUGACUAUGCUCCUCCCCUUCAUGACACUGUCAAAAAGGGACCAAGCAUGGAUGUCAUUACAAUUAUGCCCCCACCUGGAAAAAUUCCUGCGGACGCCCAUGCAGAGAUCCCCAUGUUUUUAUAAUGAUGAACUAUGAGGUCUACGAAUACAUGGCAUUUCAGCUGUAAAUACAAGUAUUGAAUAAUGAUAGAAACAUAGCUUAUGAUAGCAGAUAACUACCUGACCCAUCUAGACGAUCCAUUGUGAAAUCUCAAACUAGCAUUUCUUAUUUAUUUUCAGGUUAACUUUAUAUAAAUCACAAACAUUCUUAAUUCUCUUAUGUUUAAACCUUCACUACGUAUGCUCUAAAGUUAUUCAAGGUAUCCGUGCUCUACAAUGUCCUCACAUUGUCCCUCUCUUAUACACACUCCCACUUAUGGUCCCUCUUUUGUUCUUCUAAUUAGGGGUCGACCGAUAUUGAUUUUUUAGAGCCGAUACCGAUACCGAUAAUCUGUGAACUUUCAGGCCGAUAGCCGAUAACUUGCCGAUAUUCUGAACAUUUACCAUUUUGAAAAAAUAAACUAAUUCUAAAAGUAAAUGCACAAAAUAUACAUGCCACGUGUAGUGGAUGAAGUGUGUUUAGACAGGGGAGCUGUGUGUGUUUGUGUAGUGUGUAUAGUGAAUGCAGUGAGUGUUUGUGCAGUGUGUGUAUAUAUAGUGAAUGCAGUGAGUGUUUGUGUAGUGUAUAUAUAUAUAUAUAGUGAAUGCAGAGUGUGUGUGUGUUUGUGUAGUGUGUAUCGUGAGUGCAGUGAGUGUUUGUGUAGUGUGUAUAGUGAAUGCAGUGUAUGUGUUUGUAUAGUGCGUAUAUAUAGUGAAUGCAGAGUGUGUUUGUGUAGUGUGUAUAGUGAAUGCAGUGAGUAUUUGUGUAGUGUGUAUAGUGAAUGCAGAAUGUGUGUUUGUGUAGUGUGUAUAGUAAAUGCAGAGUGUGUGUUUGUGUAGUGUGUAUAGCGAAUGCAGUGUGUGUAGUGUGGGUAAAGUGAAUGCAUUGUGUGUGUAUAUAAUGCAGUGUGUGUUUGUGUAGUGUGUAUAUAAUGCAGUGUGUGUGUUUGUGUGUUGGGUGUGUGUAUAUAAUGCAGUGUGUGUGUGUUUGUGUGUUGGGUGUGUGUAUAUAAUGCAGUGUGUGUGUGUGUUGUGUGUGUGUAUAUAAUGCAGUGUGUAGUGUGUGUAUAUAAUGCAGUGUGUGUUUGUGUAGUGUGUGUGUAUAUAAUGCAGUGUGUGUGUGGGUUUGUGUAGUGAUGUAAUUUGUGUAAAAUGGGGGGGGGCAUUUUUUUUGUAAUUUUUAAAAAAAAAAAUUUUUUUAAUAUUUAAAUUUUUUUUGUUUGUUUGUUUAGUCCCCCCUCCCUGUAUUCCCUGGUGGUCCGGUGGCUUGUUAAGUACUGGGGGUGACCGCAGGAAGCUGUUUCUUACCUUUCAUGCAGCUCCUCCAGCUCCGCAGUGCAAAUCUCGCGGCCCUUAGUGCCGCACGAGCAUUGCCAUGGUAACCAGUGGCAACGCUCUGCGGCUGCGGGUCUCGCAAGAUUUGCACUGCAGAGCUGGAGGAGCUGCAAGAAAGGUAAGAAAUAGUGAAUGCAGUGUAUGUGUUUGUAUAGUGCGUAUAUAUAGUAAUGAGCCUGGCGGUCCUAGGAGGUAUUAUCGGCAAUAUCGGUAUCUAUAUUGGCCAAUACUGAUAUUGCCGAAAAUACCGAAUAUCGGCCGAUAAUAUCAGUAAAACCGAUAAUCGGUCGAUCCCUACUUCUAAUACUGUUUUUAUUUACAAUGUUUCCUUCACCAACUAUAUUUAAUAUAUUAAUGCAUUUGCCUAGUUUUGUCAUGUUUACUGUUUCAUUUCUCUUUUCCAAGGUGCAUUUAUUACGUUACAACGCCAUCAUUGGCCAUUAAUACGUGUUUCUGAAGAUGACUCAAGUAAUUUUUCACUGACACAUGGAAGACUGAUUUUGACUAUUCCGUAUAAAGGAAGCACAAUAAUAU